rnacentral:lncRNA from 1 species
UAUUAAUUUUUUUAAUAAUUAUUAUCUUUUUUAAGGGUUUAUAAAUUUAUAGACGUAACAUACUGCUAAUGUAACGUAAGCUUUACCCAAUUUGUGAAGUAUCAGAAGUUCAAUCAAUGUACAACAGAGGCAGAAGCGCUGUGGUUUGAGAAAGCAAAUCGAAUCAAUAUAUUGUAGAUAUUAUGAUAUCAUUGUCUUUGUCCACAAGCGUGAUAGUUACAUUUCAUAAAUGGUGCUGUGACUUGUGAGAAUGAACUGAGGACUGGGGACUGGGGACUGAACCAAGAUAACGCCGAAGUAGAGGCGUGGGGCCAGUUUACCACUCAAUGACUUUUGCAUGACGGCCUGAAUCAAAAUAAACAAUUUAAUGGAGGAGAAUGGUGAUUUGACACCAUAAGCCGGUGGUAGGGUCACACCGUGGACCAACUCUGUUUUGGCAUCCUGAUAUACCGGAUUUUUCUCAGUGACAUGUGAGUUACGUUGUGGCAACCGGCAAAAGCCCUAAAUACGGAAGCACCGGGGCAUACAUAGCCAUUAUGACUCGCUCGAUUAAUUCACAGUUUCACUCGAUUGAGAUACCACCAAGCUAAAAACAAACCACCACAACCAAAAGCCUACGAUUUUAGGUUAAAUUCAUUACAAAUCAAUAAUAGAGUGACAAAGAACAGUUUCAUGUAGUAGAAAGGCAGCGGCGGGGAAGGUGAGGUUCAAUCAUGACCUGCAAUGUGUCUCCAACCCCAAGAUAAAGCGUCUGAAGUCUGAACUCACCUUUCGCGUUAAAUAAAACAAAUUAAAUAUUACAAUAAUUAAUUAAUGCAUUUGCAACCUCAAACAUAUGCGUGCUAGCUAGUUGUAAUUCAUCCUAAUUGUUGUAAGAUCUAUUUUUAGAAGUUAAUUAGACGACGUAACGUUUUCUAAGGGAUUGGAAAAGAAGACGUCAAUCGAGAUAUGAUUGUAUAGUAUAUGGGAGACACUGAUCAUUCAUACUCGGGUAGGAGCGGUGAAGGAUGCGAGCCUCUCCAUGCGCACGUUAUUGGCUGACAGCCUUUCUCGUAGAUGAACCAGUGAUCGCACUAGCACGCGUCCAUACAUGAUGAGAAUGGUGAUCAUGCAAAGUACAAUAAAUGGUUUACUUUCAUCUGUAUAGCCCUAAUUGGGAGAUAAAAUGCCAUGUUUAAAUUGUGUUGCUUGUCUCUCAAACACACUUCACUUAUUAGAAAAUAAAGUUACAGAUGAUUGGACAUAUUUUAAGACAUGUUUAGGAUUAAAGAUAACUUAAAAGUUAUAAAAUUAGUAUUUGGUAAAAAUUGUACUUUGUGAGUUAAGUUGAUUUGAUUUUAUAUUUGUAUAAUGAAAAAUUUAUUAUAUUUUUACUAAUUUUAUUAAAAUUAUUAUUUAAAAUUUAUAUGUACUAUAUAAUAUUAAUUUUUACUUCAUGAUUAUAGUUUUUUUUUCUCACAACAAUUGUAAUUUUAAAUAAAACCUAAAUCUCAAUCAAUUGUAGAGAUGAAAUGCCCAGUUAAUAAUUUUCACUUGAAAUUUAAUUUUAGGCCCGAUCAGUGGAGCUGCUUGACCGUCACAGCGCAGCUCCAAAACAUGAGUUUUCAACUCAUAUUCCAUAGCAAUUGCGUUAGGGGAAUGCAGCGUUGUGGCAGUCCCGACACACUAUUGGUUCGUCCUCAAGUGAUUGAAAAUUAAUGAAUUUCUAUUUCGCCUAACUUUUAUCAUGGGUGCUCAUAAGCUUGAACUUGAGGAUAUAACUAACAAUUAAUGUAAAAAUUAAAAUAACUAAGUUGAACAAGGAAAGGUAUAGUUUUGUCAUUCUUGAACACGACUGUUAAUGUCUCAUUUUGCAACUUGUAGCCCACUUUUCUAUAAGCCUUUUUUUCAAUUUCAACGCAAUAUCUAUUGGUUUUUGUGUGCAUUUUGCAGUUUGAAGAACUAAAUAUGUCCUGCCAGGGAUAGAAGAAAGUUCCGUUUGGUGACAAGUUAAUUUAAUUCACCGAUUGUAUAAU